rnacentral:tRNA from 1 species
GACAGGUUGGCUGAGUGGUUUAAGGCAUUGAUCUGCUAAAUCAAUAUAUUGAAAAAUAUCAUGGGUUCGAAUCCCAUACUUGUCA